rnacentral:lncRNA from 1 species
CCUUCUGUUCCUAUCCUAGAUCCUUAGAAUAUACACAAAGUUUUCAUGGACCACACAUUAUGAAACACUGGAUUAGAGCAAAGUGAAAUGCUUCCAGAGUAGGAGCCACUAUUCUGAGGAAGCUUGGAAGAAAAAGUAUCAAAAUAUGUUACUAUAUUUUGGGGGGAUAGAGACAGAACUUAAAAUUGAUUGAACUCCAAAUAUGGCCAAUUUUUUAGAAGAUUUAAUCUUUCCCUAAAGCUCUUUGUUUACCCAUAAAAUGUGAACUUUCCUUGACUUUGACUGGGUAUGGAGUAGAUUGAUGGUAUUGACUGAUAUUUUUGAGUGUGUAGUUUGUGGUUUUAUGAAGCAUUUUUAUAUUGUCUAUACACUUUUGGAAAGUAUAUGCAAUUGCUAAAACUUCAACGUUAUCUUUUUCUUUUGAUGAAAUAGAAAACAUCGCCGAUUUCAUCUGUUCCUUCAGUCCCCAGAUAGCAGACGACUGGUAGGAAGAUGAGGCAAGUUUGUGGUCCAUUGUCAUGGAUAGUGGAGACAACAAUGGGCCAGAAGUGGUAAGACCUGAAUCCAAGACUCAGCUCUGCCGCUUGCUAAAUGGGACUUUGAAUAAACCAUUUCUCUGCACUUAAGUUCCUUACCAACAAAAUGAGGGAAGUGGCCUACAUGCCUAGAUAUCAACAUUUCAUGUCAUGUAGAGAUCUAGCAUCACAAGACUCCAAGUCAUCCUUUGUUGCCUUUAAGGAACUGGACCAAGGGAAGAGGACACAGAAGGUAAAAGGAAGCCAGACCAGCAUGUUCUCCCACUCUAGUCCUCCUACCAAGAGGCUUUGAUAAGCAAUCACAAUUGUCCCCAGUGACAUGAAAGAAAAAGUGAAGCAUCCUGUAGGGAUGCAUAGCAUGACAUCUACAUAGACUUGGGUCAUGGAAGGAAACUGUCACCACAUACAAGUUCAAGGGAAAUGUUCAGCCUCCAGGGUAGGCAAUCCCUAAUUUAUAACUCUUUACCUGUUGCUAGACAUUUUGACUGCGUGUGGAAGAAUAAGGAGUAGAUAGCUAGACAGAGAAGCUUUUGGGAGAGAGCAGGAAGGAAAAGAAUACAGCAUGAGAAAGGAUCUGAAACACUCAAGAAAGCCCAGCAGGGCUAUAUGGUAAACAGCAGGGGAUAGACUUGACCUGAAUGCCAGAGGUGUGAUAUGUUCUCAAUUAACGAAAACUAUAUUCAUCAUUCAAAAACUGUGCAUUAAUUGACUUCUAGAAAGUAGGCAGUGUUCUGGUUAGUAAGUGGUUUGGAAGUGAUUUUUUUAAAAACUUUUUUUUCCUAGAAGAUAUCUAGCAGAGCCUUCCUGCUGAAGGUAAAACCUAUUAAGUAUA